GAAACUGGUCCCCCAUUGACAGCACUCUGACUUCUCCGUCAGGCUCUAUCAACAUGUCUACGGUGAGGUUGGUGAUGCUGUCUGCAGGCACCUUGUGAUGGUCACCGGGAACCCACGCUUCAGACCUACCACAGCCUGACCUGCAGUGUCCUCUGCACUCUGUGAACUUCAGUCUUUCUUUGAUGCUGCCAUCUCUUUCGUCCGUGCCCACUGUGCUGACAGACAGCUGACUCCAACAGCUUUGACAAGAAAGCCCAAACUCUCGACUGAAACUGUAAAGGUGGGAUUUGAAGUGGCGGGACAAGUUCUAGAGUCAGCCUUGUGCAACCUGAAAUGCUGCAAACCACAGUGUCUCAUGGAGGCUUAGAUUUUUCAAAGACCCACUUUAAUAAGGUUCUUAAAUGCUUCAACCUCCCUGAUAGCUCAGGGAUCAAAGGUAGAGGAGGAAGAUGGCUAAUAGGAAAAGAGGGACGUGGAUCUCUUUAGAAGUAGUUCUUUGAGGUGAUUCCAAUCUUCAUUGUCAGAAGUCCAGUCCAUUUGAAUCAGUAGCAGCAGCCUGAUCCAGAGGAAACUGAGAGGCUUUGCCGGUCAGCAUGGAUUCCUUGGUGCAUUUCUCUCCACUAAGUUAUGACAAGUGAAUAUCAAGGAAGGAAGCAAGGUGAACCAAUGAAUAAUGUUAUCAGGGAAGACCAGAGUCAGUGAAGGCCAAUGAAGACCACAAGUUAUUGUGAAAAACUGGCAGUUAAAUUCAAUUGAUUCAAAUUUUUCUGGAUCCAUAUGGCCGCCAACCCUGGAGCUGAAGCGGCGGCGGCGCCUCUCCGCUGUUUUCAAGCAUUUGCCUCUCCUCCAGUCCCCAGAUGGUGGGAGUAACAUUUAAACCUCCUUUUCUCUGCCUUGUACAAUAGACCUUGGCACCAUUUCAACUGUUUACUCCGGUAAUUAACAGCUCUGAUACCACAACAAUUACAACUCCUCCACUCUCCACAAUAAUGCUAUGAAUUAGUGAGAGCUAAUGGCUGGAAGGUAGAGUGUUUCCAGACUGUGAGAUCUGUGCAUUUUUAGAAUAAAAUAAAAGGUACAAACAGCACGCUUGCAGUAGACAAUGAUUACCUAGUAAUUAGUUUACACAAAGCUUCCUAUUUAAUGGCAAAACGCUGUAAUUAACGUGUGACAGAAAAUCAAAGGGUACUUUGUAAGCAUAUGAAAAAUUAACACUGCAGGCCCAUAGCUUUAUGUACUGAUUAGAAGCAUAUUAAAUCAAUAGGACACACAAGCCAACAGCUUGUAUAGCUGAUUAUUAUAGGUCCUCGGAAGGGGUGCCCAGGCUUUCAUUUAACUGGGGAGGCAAUUUUCCUUCUCCUGUCAUCAUCCUCAGGCACAGAGAAGCACCUCAAACUCAACCCUGGCAGCACCAUGAAAAUAACCACUGAACUGGAAGAAAACAUUCUAAGUCAUUCUCAGAGCUAAGAAAAAUUAUGUACAUGAUUAAGACUUUCCAGUGAUCUUGGUGACAUGCUGCUAUACUAAUUAGAAAAUAUGUCAACUGGAACCAGAAGCAUCCAGACUCAAUGUUUUGGUCAGAAUAAUCUCUACUUUAUCAAGCCUUUUUAUUCAACAUGGAGAAAGCUCUAAUAAACACAUUGUUUUCUAUUCUCAAAUGGUAAGAGGCCAUGAUGCUAUCUAGGGUUAUUAUUUUAAAGAUAUUAAUUAGCAAAAUCAUAGCACAGGGACAAUUGGAUCGUUAUUCUGAGUUUUUGACAGCAUCUUGUAUAAUGAUAAUUGAUGCAUACUGCAGUAGUCUUGAAGGCUACAAGACCUUCUGAGCUGCCAAACAGCAGGUAAUGUGUAUUUGUUUGCUCACUGUUGCUUAUAUCUCCUCAUAAUGUAACUUUAAUUAAUAUUCAUAAUAAAAAAGCAAUAUCUUAAACUGUCACAUGCUAAGAACAUUGCUGGCCAAUUCACAGGAUACUUUUAAGAACUGGCAACUUAGAGAGCCAUGGUGAUUUGGUUAUCACCAUGAAGUUUCCCAGGAAGCUCUAAGAGACACAGAGCAGUGGGACCUUGUGAAGCCUCAGACUGACCCAUUUUAAUUCUUGUUCUGCUUAAAAAGGCUUACCACAUAAACCUGAAUUAUGUCUAGAAAUAAGUAAGACAAAAACAAAUACAAUUUUUGGUGGCUUGUGUAAGAGAAAAAUAAGUUGAAUUGCUUAUCUUGUUUUUGGUGCUACAUCUGAUGUGAAGGUAGGCUACUCGGUAUGUGAUAAUUUAUAGGUGGACUCAAAUGACUGUGACAGAAAGGCACCAAAACGUAUCUCCCCGUGACUAGGCAAAAGGUAAUAUAUAGAAUUCUCUGUUGCCAACUAUGCACGUUCACAGGAAUGCAUGUGGUGAGGCAUCUGGGUUUUCUAGGGAUUCCUGAGCAGGUUACUGCCUUCUACAGCUGAGGUGUGCACACUGACAGCUCUCCUCGCCUCCCAAUUCACUGCCUGGUAGGAAAGGGAAGCACUCGACAGUAGUCAGUGUGGUCCAGGGACAUCUGUGCUUUGAGAAAGUCUGUGGAAAGUAGAAAAUCUGCCAGAGCAGCAGCACAUGGCAUGGACCACAAAGCCAGGGCCUAAGAGGGGAGCUUCUCUGGGAGCUUAAGGAAGUUGGAAGCCACUAGCAUCUUCUUAUCAAUAUAGCACGUACAGCAACAGCCGGAGCACUAUUGCUCCUACUACUAUUGCAUUCUACUAGUGGGGCUUUUAGCCUAGAGAAAAAGGCAGAUUUUUUCUUGUCUUUGUUUUAAAGGCAUAUACUACGUGGACAUUUCUCUGAUCCACAAUUUACAAAUACAAGAACAAAACAAAACUGGGGAAGAGCUUAAGUUUUCAGACAGGUGCGCGUUUUAGCAUGUUAGAAUUAAUUAAUAAAGGGGUAACAUGCAGUCAUUAAUUGUGAUGAAGAUGAAUAAAUGGGCAAAUGGCUAAGAUCUUAUCUUUACUUAGCAUAUUCACAAUGAGAGACAACACACAUUUGAGAAUUAAUUCAGAGAAUGAAGGCAAUAGUAAAAGUGACUUAUACUUACUGGGAUAGACAUCUCUUUAAUAUAUUAUUAUUGUAUUAUCUUUUAACUUUUCUAAACAUUCUGUGGUGAUGAGCCAAGACCUCUUUGAGCUCACCUAAUAAAGCUGUACCACAUCCUCCAGGAGGCACCUAGGUCAGUCACCCAAGAGUGGUCCCAUCACUGUUUACAAGACUUCCAUUCCCAGGGGAAUUGUUCUGAGCACACUGUGGUGGCUGCUCCUCCUUUGUAACAGUGUGUUUGUUUACUGGCCUAGUUCUUUAGUGAUAAGUAUGGUUUAUUCUGCCUUUCUAGGUUUGGGAGCCCUGGAUUCAGAUCUUCCCAUUUGGGUGAUGCUUAAAUGAAUACCAAAUGUCUAACAUUCUAACACAGUAAGACAAAUUAGUGUGAGAGACAACAGAUUUACCCUAUUACAAAGUAGAAAGCAGCCACGAGAAAGAUUGAGCACAGAGAGCAGACUGUGGCACCAGCAUUUGUCAGGAAGGCUUCUCUCCUACAGGUGUGUGUGUGAAGUCUUCGUCCCUACUAACUGAAACAAAUGCUUCGACUCAGAAACAAGGAAUCUAGCAUUUGUGCAAGUGGAUUCACAAACCUUAGCAAGCAGUGUGCACUCAGUUGGGACCCAGUGAAGUGAGUGGAGCUGACUUCACUAGACAAUAGGAUGACAAGCAGAGGCUUGUUACCAGCCUCCAGGGAAAAGUGAAAAUGUGUGCUUUGUUUCAGUGUAGUCUUUCUGCUUUUUGAAAUGUGCCUAUGUAUCCAUACUGAGCUUUCAAAGGUGACUAGGCUUUUUAGCAUCUGAUAACGCAUGUGACUUUGUUUCAGGUCUUAAUUGCAACCAGCCAAAGCUCAGUCAAAAAUUAGAAGAGGAGGAAGGAGGGGUGAUCUUUGUGUUCCAAGUCUGAGCCUACCUCUAAGACUAGUGUCUGCAUAAGACUCCACAGUGGCGCCCGCCCCAUACACAGCCCUGCUUUCAUCUGUUGUCUACGGUGCACCAAUAAGAGAAUUCACAGCAUCCUGUCACAAACUGCUAUGCAAAUGAUGCCAUUUAAGAGUAAUUCACUUUGGUGUUCUUUAAAUAAUAUGUAAAGAGCUAGCCAUGACAGGCACUGCGUUUAGUCCAUUCACUGUUGGAGGGAAAGGAAAGCCCAGAAUAGAUCAUGAGGAGGACCGACCCAUUUAUCAAAGGGAACUCUCCUUCCUGACUGGUCUCAAGAGGUAUUUAUCAUCUCGCUUGCCCAGGAGUAAUGUGGCUCCCGCCAGUGUGCCCUUCCUUUCUAUCACUUGUGUCUUGAUUCAUAGACUUCUGUAGUGGGAUGCACAAAGCAGAUGCAAAUCACUGCACAGUCCACCACGAUGCAUGCUGGGAGGGAAGGAACCACUUAAGGAGUUUGUCUUUCAAUCUUUUUUUUUUCUAGUAGGUCACCCAAAACAGGGUCGUGCAAUAGAGAAGCUAGGUAUAAGGCUACAGUGUGGGACAGUGUUUAGAGGUUAAACACUAAACCACAUACAACAAUGAAGUAAAAGUGGAACAUUCUGAGGUGGCAUAAUUCAUCUCCCCCACAUACGGGGAAAGGCUUACACACCUCCUGCAGAGCUGGAGACACUAAGCCUACUAGUCAGCUGUGCUGGCAACUUUCUUCUGUGGUCUAUUCUUCUCUCAGCAUCUCACAGGGGCUGGUAGUUACAUAUUUCUUUGGAAUAUCUUCAAAAACAUGGCUCCUAACGGAAUGCUAUCAUAUAUUAGCUUCCAGUGAGCACUAUUUGCUAGUAGAACUCUCAUAAUAAAACACAGCUAGCUUAGUCCCAGCAGCUGAUACAAGCAGGGGGUGUGCUCAGUGCUCAUAUUCCAGUGCUAUUAUAAUCAUUUUGAAGGUGUGGGGGAAAAGA
rnacentral:sRNA from 1 species